rnacentral:lncRNA from 1 species
GAUUAUUGAACAAAAAAAUAUAUAUAUCUUCUUGAUUCAUAAUCAUUUCUCUUUCCAAACUUACCAACCUCCAAGGAUUUGGCUUGAUUAUUUCCUUGUUCUGUGGAACUUUUUGGGAUACAUUUACCAAAAAUUUCCUAAACCAAAAAGCCUAAAUUGCAUGUUGGUUGGACAUAAAAAUUUGACUCAAACAAGGUGAGCUUGGGUUGAC